UACGGAGGGGUCUAGCGUUGUUCGGAAUUACUGGGCGUAAAGCGCGCGUAGGCGGAUGGGAAAGUUGGGUGUGAAAUCCCGGGGCUCAACCUCGGAACUGCCUCCAAAACUGUCAGUCUAGAGGUCGGGAGAGGUGAGUGGAAUUCCGAGUGUAGAGGUGAAAUUCGUAGAUAUUCGGAGGAACACCAGUGGCGAAGGCGGCUCACUGGCUCGAUACUGACGCUGAGGUGCGAAAGCGUGGGGAGCAAACAGG
rnacentral:misc_RNA from 1 species